UUAAAACAGAACGAGUUUUACAAAUCAUACACUUAAAUUUGUUCAUACCAACUCUAUAUAAAUUCCUUCAAGAUUAAUUCUUUGAAUCAACAACUCUCUUUUUAAUUCAUUUGUUUCAAGAUGGAGCGUUCCGGACAUUUAUGUUCGACUGUCUUCAUCCUCGUCCUCCUUCUGGUGGCUAUUGGAACGGGGCCCAUGGUAGCUGAGGGAAAGACAGAACAGAUGUCGUCGAAGGAUAAGAAUUCGUCGACUUGUGAGUGUCCGAGCCAUAAGUACCACGGUCUUUGCUUUAGGUUUAUUUUUUCAAGCAAUUGUGCAGCUACAUGCAAAGAAGAGGGAUUUAUGGGAGGCAAAUGUAAGGGCUUCCAUAUGAGAUGUAUAUGCACUAAACAAUGUUAAGUCACACAAAAACUAACCUAAGUUUUGUUGGAAAUUAUAUAUUAUAAUUAGUGUAAAUGACAAAAAACUACCUUAAUUAUUGGUCUCACGACAUUAUCGUACCUUAUAUUUUAAAAUUGAUAAUGUCAUACCUCAUCUUACGAAUUUGGUCCAAUGUUAGACCUCUAUCAGUUUUUCUAUUAAUUUCUCUAUUAAGUGCUGAUAUGGUUUGAGACGAGACUCAUUUCCUCGCCAAGUAGAUAAAAAUAUUAAUUAAAUAUUAAUAAAAUUAAAUUAAAUUAUUUUAAUAUUUUUAUUUUAAAAAUGUGGGACCCACCCCUAUAAUUAUCUCCCCUUUUUCUUCCUGAUCCGUUCCAAACAUCCGAGAACCCCAUCCCUUUUAUUCCUCUGCAAUUCUCCCCCGCAACCCCCAACAACACUCACCCCAACACCCACCUUUUCCCGUCCCCUACCUUUGUCCCUCUUUCUGUUCCAGAACCCCCUCCCUUUCGAAGAUCUUCAACCCAAACCCUAACCCUAAUUCUCCAAUUUCAAACAGAAAACCCCAGUUUGCCCCAAACCCAAUCCUCUAAAC